GACGACCGCUGGCGGCGUGCUUAACACAUACAAGUCGAACGGAAAGGCCCUGCUUUUGUGGGGUGCUCGAGUGGCGAACGGGUGAGUAACACGUGAGUAACCUGCCCUUGACUUUGGGAUAACUUCAGGAAACUGGGGCUAAUACCGGAUAGGAGCUCCUGCUGCAUGGUGGGGGUUGGAAAGUUUCGGCGGUUGGGGAUGGACUCGCGGCUUAUCAGCUUGUUGGUGGGGUAGUGGCUUACCAAGGCUUUGACGGGUAGCCGGCCUGAGAGGGUGACCGGCCACAUUGGGACUGAGAUACGGCCCAGACUCCUACGGGAGGCAGCAGUGGGGAAUAUUGCACAAUGGGCGGAAGCCUGAUGCAGCAACGCCGCGUGCGGGAUGACGGCCUUCGGGUUGUAAACCGCUUUCGCCUGUGACGAAGCGUGAGUGACGGUAAUGGGUAAAGAAGCACCGGCUAACUACGUG
rnacentral:rRNA from 1 species